rnacentral:rRNA from 1 species
GUUAUGUAAAGCUCUAUCAGCAGGGAAGAUAGUGACGGUACCUGACUAAGAAGCUCCGGCUAAAUACGUGCCAGCAGCCGCGGUAAUACGUAUGGAGCAAGCGUUAUCCGGAUUUACUGGGUGUAAAGGGAGUGUAGGUGGCCAUGCAAGUCAGAAGUGAAAAUCCGGGGCUCAACCCCGGAACUGCUUUUGAAACUGUAAGGCUAGAGUGCAGGAGGGGUGAGUGGAAUUCCUAGUGUAGCGGUGAAAUGCGUAGAUAUUAGGAGGAACACCAGUGGCGAAGGCGGCUCACUGGACUGUAACUGACACUGAGGCUCGAAAGCGUGGGGAGCAAACAGGAUUAGAUACCCUGGUAGUCCACGCCGUAAA